rnacentral:misc_RNA from 1 species
AACGCACGAGACCUGCGGACCUGCGGAGGGAUCAUUAAUGAGAAACUGCCCCUCGCGGGUAGAUCUCCCACCCUUUGUAAACUUACCUUUGUUGCUUUGGCAGGCCCGUCUCCGGACCGCUGGCUUCGGCUGGCCAGUGCCUGCCAGAGGAUUCUAAAACUCUGUCUGUCAGUGUUGUCUGAGUCUAUAUACAAUCGUUAAAACUUUCAACAACGGAUCUCUAGAUCGGAAGAGCACACG